GACGAACGCUGGCGGCGUGCCUAAUACAUGCAAGUUGAGCGCUGAAGGUUGGUUCUUGUACCAACUGGGUGAGCAGCGAACGGGUGAGUAACGCGUGGGGAAUCUGCCUUUGAGCGGGGGACAACAUAUGGAACCGAAUGCUAAUACCGCAUAAAAACUUUAAACACAAGUUUCAAGUUUGAAAGCUGCAAUUGCAUCACUUAAAGAUGAUUCCGCGUUGUAUUAGCUAGGUGGUGAGGUAAAGGCACAACCAUGCGAUGAUACAUAGGCGAGCUGAGAGGGUGGUCGGUCACAAUGGGAAUGGGACACCGCCCAAACUCCUACGGGGGGGAGCAGGAGGGGAUCUUCGGACAUUGAGGGAAGUCUGACCGCGCAACGGCGGGGGGGUGAAGGAGGUUUUCGGGUCGGAAAACUCUGUUGGGAGGGAAGAACGGUGGGUAGGGUGAAAAGCUCAUCAAUUGACGGUAACUACCCAGAAAGGGACGGCUAACUACGUG
rnacentral:rRNA from 1 species